AUACGUAGGGAGCGAGCGUUGUCCGGAAUUACUGGGCGUAAAGGGCGUGUAGGCGGUCUUGCAAGUCAGAAGUGAAAUUCCUGAGCUCAACUCGGGCGCUGCUUCUGAAACUGCAGGACUUGAGUGCUGGAGGGGAUAGCGGAAUUCCUAGUGGAGCGGUAAAAUGCGCAGAUAUUAGGAAGAACACCGGUGGCGAAGGCGGCUAUCUGGACAGUAACUGACGCUGAGGCGCGAAAGCGUGGGGAGCAAACAGGAUUAGAUACCCUGGUAGUCCACGCGGUAAACGAUGAAUGCUAGGUGUUGCGGGUAUCGACCCCUGCAGUGCCGGAGUAAACACAAUAAGCAUUCCGCCUGGGGAGUACGGCCGCAAGGUUGAAACUCAAAUGAAUUGACGGGG
rnacentral:rRNA from 1 species